UACAGAGGGUGCAAACGUUGCUCGGAAUUACUGGGCGUAAAGGGCGUGUAGGCGGGAAGGCAAGUCGGGCGUGAAAUCCCCAGGCUCAACCUGGGAACUGCACUCGAAACUGCCUUUCUUGAGUGCCGGAGAGGAAAGCGGAAUUCCUGGUGUAGAGGUGAAAUUCGUAGAUAUCAGGAGGAACACCAGUGGCGAAGGCGGCUUUCUGGACGGUAACUGACGCUGAGACGCGAAAGCGUGGGGAGCAAACAGG
rnacentral:rRNA from 1 species